AGAGUUUGAUCCUGGCUCAGAACAAACGCUGGCGGCAGGCUUCAUACAUGCAAGUCGCGCGAUUAAAGCAGCAAUGCAUAUAGAGCGGCGAACGGGUGAGUAACAGGUGGACAACCUACCCUCUGGCGGGGGACAACAGUUGGAAACGACUGCUAAUACCGCAUGUGAUUGCAUUUCCUAGGAAGUGUAAAGAAAGGCGCGUUUGCGUCACCAGGGGAUGGGUCCGCCCCCCAUUAGCUUGUUGGUGUGAUAACAGCGCACCAAGGCUUCGAUGGGUAGCCGAGCUGAGAGGUUGAUCGGCCACACUGGGACUGAGACACGGCCCAGACACCUACGGGUGGCAGCAGUAGGGAAUAUUGGACAAUGGACGAAAGUCUGAUCCAGCCAUGCCGCGUGAGUGACGAAGGUCUUCGGAUUGUAAAACUCUUUUAUGAGGGAAGAACAUCCCGGGGAGGAAAUGCCCCGGGCCUGACGGUACCUCAGGAAUAAGGGACGGCUAACUCCGUGCCAGCAGCCGCGGUAAUACGGAGGUCUCGAGCGUUGUUCGGAAUUACUGGGCGUAAAGGGGGCGCAGGCGGACAGGUCAGUGGAAAGUGGAAGCCCGGGGCUCAACCCCGGAAAGCCUUUCCAUACUGCUUGUCUUGAGUUCGUGAGAGGAGAGCGGAAUUCAGGGUGUAGCGGUGAAAUGCUUAGAUAUCCUGAGGAACACCAAUGGCGAAAGCAGCUCUCUGGCACGUUACUGACGCUGAGGCCCGAAAGCGUGGGGAGCGAACGGGAUUAGAUACCCCGGUAGUCCACGCCGUAAACGUUGUGUACUAGGUGCAGGAGGUAUCGACCCCUUCUGUGCCGCAGCUAACGCAUUAAGUACACCGCCUGGGGAGUACGCUCGCAAGAGUGAAACUCAAAGGAAUUGACGGGGACCCGCACAAGCGGUGGAGCAUGUGGUUUAAUUCGAUGCAACGCGAAGAACCUUACCUGGUCUUGACAUGUCUGGAAUCCCGAAGAGAUUUGGGAGUGCCGCAAGGAACCAGAACACAGGUGCUGCAUGGCUGUCGUCAGCUCGUGUCGUGAGAUGUUGGGUUAAGUCCCGCAACGAGCGCAACCCUUGUCCUUAGUUGCCAUCAUUAAGUUGGGAACUCUAAGGAGACCGCCGGUGACAAACCGGAGGAAGGUGGGGAUGACGUCAAGUCAUCAUGGCCUUUAUGACCAGGGCUACACACGUGCUACAAUGGCAGGUACAGAGGGAAGCCAACCCGCGAGGGGGAGCUAAUCCCAGAAAGCCUGUCUUAGUCCGGAUUGGAGUCUGCAACUCGACUCCAUGAAGUUGGAAUCGCUAGUAAUCGCAGAUCAGCAUUGCUGCGGUGAAUACGUUCCCGGGUCUUGUACACACCGCCCGUCACACCAUGGGAGUUGAUUGCACCAGAAGCAGGUAGCCUGUCCGCAAGGAGGGCGCUUACCACGGUGUGGUUAAUGACUGGGGUGAAGUCGUAACAAGGUA
rnacentral:rRNA from 1 species